rnacentral:rRNA from 1 species
GACGAACGCUGGCGGCAGGCCUAACACAUGCAAGUCGAGCGGUAGAGAGAAGCUUGCUUCUCUUGAGAGCGGCGGACGGGUGAGUAAUGCCUAGGAAUCUGCCUAGUGGUGGGGGAUAACGUUCGGAAACGGACGCUAAUACCGCAUACGUCCUACGGGAGAAAGCGGGGGACCUUCGGGCCUCGCGCCAUUAGAUGAGCCUAGGUCGGAUUAGCUAGUUGGUGGGGUAAAGGCUCACCAAGGCGACGAUCCGUAACUGGUCUGAGAGGAUGAUCAGUCACACUGGAACUGAGACACGGUCCAGACUCCUACGGGAGGCAGCAGUGGGGAAUAUUGGACAAUGGGCGAAAGCCUGAUCCAGCCAUGCCGCGUGUGUGAAGAAGGUCUUCGGAUUGUAAAGCACUUUAAGUUGGGAGGAAGGGUAGUAACUUAAUACGUUGCUACUUGACGUA